AGAUCAGCUGACUUUGAUUUCAAAGAGAGACGGUUUGUAAGGUUUGAGGUUACGUCACUGGCGUCGUAAUUUUUUGGAAUUUUGUCAUAAAUUAAUUCACUGCUGCAAAAUUUGACCCAGAAGUUGAACGAUGGAACCUAUGACGCUGGGCUCACCGAUCGGCAGUCCCUCCUCACCCUCUGGAGGAGGAGGUGGGGGUAAUUCGGGAGGAGGAGGGGGCUCCUCGUUUCUGCCAGCCUUCCUGAUGGGUGAGGCGAACACCUCUGCAUCCUCACUCGCCAACCCUCACAGUCCGCAUCCUCACAGUCCUCAGAAGACACCCAGACAGGUGACGUUCAGCACACCGAGGCUGCAAGCUAACACGCCUCAAAAACCGGAUGGAAGCAGGCCUAGUGUUUUCGAACCACGAACCAGGUCCUUACAUGUGACACAGUCGGAAAAAUCAGGCGGAAUCCCGACGGUGGGAUUAUUUGACACAUUGGAUACGUCUUCCGUGCCUCAAUCUCCUCUCAUGAACAUCACGAACACCCUCAACACCAGUAUAACUCAGCUGGCAUCGCAAUCAAGUACACAACAGCAACAGGACACCCCAGACCGUAACACAGGCGUAACGGCCGACCACUGGGUGACCGUGUUUGGCUUUCCCCCAUCCGCGGCCACCACCGUUCUCGCACAAUUCUCACAGCUGGGGCAGCUGCAGCAGCAUGUCACCCCUCCCAAGGGCAACUGGAUGCAUUUGAGGUAUUACAGCAAGAUGGAGGCGAGACGAGCGUAUAGCUACAACGGAAAGGUGUUUGGAGGAAGUGUAAUGGUGGGGGUGGUGCCUUGUAAAGAUCCGAGUAUAGUCAAGGACCUGCUACCUUCAGUGCCCAGCUCUCCAGUGACGUUGGGACGUCGGCUGAUGUCGCCUGAUGUGGGUACACCCAUGAAUCAGUCGUCACAUUGGGACAACUCGUAUGUGGGCCCCUCCCCACGGGCGAGGCCUCUCAACAGGACGCCCCAUCCUGACACUGAGGUGAUUUGUCAACAAAAUACUCCAACCAAAAGCUCCAGUGUGGUUUCAAGAACGUUUGAAUACUUUCUAGGAUGGUAACUAAUUGUUAUUGACUAUUGGUGAUUGUAAAACAAUCAUUAAUAACUAAAUGAAAUAAUUGACAUAUUUACAUUGACAGGAUUUUGUUAUUCUAAUCUUCCAAUAUUGUUAACACUUUUUACAUUCAUAAACUAGGAAUCAAUUAUGUAACCAUAUGUGAUAUUUAUCACAAUUUGUCUGUUUGAAUUAGAUUUGAAUUAUAUUUGGUUACUAUUUUUAAUUGUUUCUUCUUUAUUUAAACAGAUUUCAUUCUAAUCUUCCCAGAUUGUUAGUUAACAUUUUUUACAUUCAUAAACUAGGAAUCAAUUUUGUAACCAUAUGUGCUGUUUACCACAAUUUGUCAGUUUGAAUUAUAUUUGGUUACUAUUUUUAA